rnacentral:rRNA from 1 species
UACGAAGGGGGCUAGCGUUGCUCGGAAUCACUGGGCGUAAAGGGUGCGUAGGCGGGUUUUAAGUCAGAGGUGAAAUCCUGGAGCUCAACUCCAGAACUGCCUUUGAUACUGAAAGUCUUGAGUAUGGGAGAGGUGAGUGGAACUGCGAGUGUAGAGGUGAAAUUCGUAGAUAUUCGCAAGAACACCAGUGGCGAAGGCGGCUCACUGGCCCGGAACUGACGCUGAGGUGCGAAAGCGUGGGGAGCAACAGG